rnacentral:tRNA from 3 species
CCCUCGCUAGCCCAACCAGCAGAGGCAUCCGAUUCAAGUCCGAUACAGUCUCGGUUCGAAUCCGAGGCGAGGGA